rnacentral:rRNA from 1 species
UAGGUAAUCUUCGGCAAUGGGGGGAACCCUGACCGAGCAACGCCGCGUGAGUGAAGAAGGUUUUCGGAUCGUAAAGCUCUGUUGUUAAGGAAGAACGAGUGUGAGAAUGGAAAGUUCAUACUGUGACGGUACUUAACCAGAAAUGGACGGCUAACUACGUGCCAGCAGCCGCGGUAAUACGUAGGUCCCGAGCGUUGUCCGGAUUUAUUGGGCGUAAAGCGAGCGCAGGCGGUUAGAUAAGUCUGAAGUUAAAGGCAGUGGCUCAACCAUUGUAGGCUUUGGAAACUGUUUAACUUGAGUGCAGAAGGGGAGAGUGGAAUUCCAUGUGUAGCGGUGAAAUGCGUAGAUAUAUGGAGGAACACCGGUGGCGAAAGCGGCUCUCUGGUCUGUAACUGACGCUGAGGCUCGAAAGCGUGGGGAGCGAACAGG